rnacentral:rRNA from 1 species
UCAGGAUGAACGCCGGCGGUGUGCCUAAUACAUGCAAGUCGAACGCGGGUGCUUGCACCCGAGUGGCGGACGGGUGAGUAACACGUAGGUAACCUGCCCAGAAGCGGGGGACAACAUUUGGAAACAGAUGCUAAUACCGCAUAACAGCGUUUUCGCAUGAACAACGCUAAAAGAUGUUCUUAUCACUUCUGGAUGGACCUGCGGUGCAUUAGCUUGUUGGUGGGGUAACGGCCUACCAAGGCGAUGAUGCAUAGCCGAGUUGAGAGACUGAUCGGCCACAAUGGGACUGAGACACGGCCCAUACUCCUACGGGAGGCAGCAGUAGGGAAUCUUCCACAAUGGGCGCAAGCCUGAUGGAGCAACACCGCGUGAGUGAAGAAGGGUUUCGGCUCGUAAAGCUCUGUUGUUAAAGAAGAACACGUAUGAGGUAAUUCAUACGUUGACGGUAUUUAACCAGAAAGUCACGGCUAACUACGUGCCAGCAGCCGCGGUAAUACGUAGGUGGCAAGCGUUAUCCGGAUUUAUUGGGCGUAAAGAGAGUGCAGGCGGUUUUCUAAGUCUGAUGUGAAAGCCUUCGGCUUAACCGGAGAAGUGCAUCGGAAACUGGGAAACUUGAGUGCAGAAGAGGGUAGUGGAACUCCAUGUGUAGCGGUGGAAUGCGUAGAUAUAUGGAAGAACACCAGUGGCGAAGGCGGCUACCUGGUCUGCAACUGACGCUGAGACUCGAAAGCAUGGGUAGCGAACAGGAUUAGAUACCCUGGUAGUCCAUGCCGUAAACGAUGAGUGCUAGGUGUUGGAGGGUUCCGCCCUUCAGUGCCGGAGCUAACGCAUUAAGCACUCCGCCUGGGGAGUACGACCGCAAGGUUGAAACUCAAAGGAAUUGACGGGGGCCCGCACAAGCGGUGGAGCAUGUGGUUUAAUUCGAAGCUACGCGAAGAACCUUACCAGGUCUUGACAUCUUGCGCCAACCCUAGAGAUAGGGCGUUUCCUUCGGGAACGCAAUGACAGGUGGUGCAUGGUCGUCGUCAGCUCGUGUCGUGAGAUGUUGGGUUAAGUCCCGCAACGAGCGCAACCCUUGUUACUAGUUGCCAGCAUUAAGUUGGGCACUCUAGUGAGACUGCCGGUGACAAACCGGAGGAAGGUGGGGACGACGUCAGAUCAUCAUGCCCCUUAUGACCUGGGCUACACACGUGCUACAAUGGACGGUACAACGAGUCGCGAACUCGCGAGGGCAAGCAAAUCUCUUAAAACCGUUCUCAGUUCGGACUGCAGGCUGCAACUCGCCUGCACGAAGUCGGAAUCGCUAGUAAUCGCGGAUCAGCAUGCCGCGGUGAAUACGUUCCCGGGCCUUGUACUCACCGCCCGUCAA